rnacentral:rRNA from 1 species
GACGAACGCUGGCGGCGUGCUUAACACAUGCAAGUCGAGCGGAAAGGCCCUUCGGGGUACUCGAGCGGCGAACGGGUGAGUAACACGUGAGUAACCUGCCCCAGACUUUGGGAUAACCCUCGGAAACGGGGGCUAAUACCGAAUAUGACCUCCUUCCGCAUGGAUGGUGGUGGAAAGUUUUUCGGUUUGGGAUGGACUCGCGGCCUAUCAGCUUGUUGGUGGGGUAAUGGCCUACCAAGGCGACGACGGGUAGCCGGCCUGAGAGGGCGACCGGCCACACUGGGACUGAGACACGGCCCAGACUCCUACGGGAGGCAGCAGUGGGGAAUAUUGCGCAAUGGGCGAAAGCCUGACGCAGCCAUGCCGCGUGAAUGAUGAAGGUCUUAGGAUUGUAAAAUUCUUUCAGCAGGGACGAUAAUGACGGUACCUGCAGAAGAAGCGCCGGCUAACUACGUGCCAGCAGCCGCGGUAAUACGUAGGGCGCAAGCGUUGUCCGGAAUUAUUGGGCGUAAAGGGCUUGUAGGCGGUUCGUCGCGUCAGAAGUGAAAACUCAGGGCUUAACCCUGAGCCUGCUUUUGAUACGGGCGGACUAGAGGGAUGCAGGGGAGAACGGAAUUCCUGGUGGAGCGGUGGAAUGCGCAGAUAUCAGGAGGAACACCGGUGGCGAAGGCGGUUCUCUGGGCAUUACCUGACGCUGAGAAGCGAAAGCGUGGGGAGCGAACAGGAUUAGAUACCCUGGUAGUCCACGCCGUAAACGGUGGGAACUAGGUGUUGGCGACAUUCCACGUCGUCGGUGCCGCAGCUAACGCAUUAAGUUCCCCGCCUGGGGAGUACGGCCGCAAGGCUAAAACUCAAAGGAAUUGACGGGGACCCGCACAAGCGGUGGAUGAUGUGGAUUAAUUCGAUGCAACGCGAAAAACCUUACCUACCCUUGACAUGUCAGGAACCUCCGAGAGAUUGGAGGGUGCCCGAAAGGGAGCCUGAACACAGGUGCUGCAUGGCUGUCGUCAGCUCGUGUCGUGAGAUGUUGGGUUAAGUCCCGCAACGAGCGCAACCCUUGUCAUUAGUUGCUACGAAAGGGCACUCUAAUGAGACUGCCGGUGACAAACCGGAGGAAGGUGGGGAUGACGUCAAGUCCUCAUGGCCCUUAUGGGUAGGGCUACACACGUCAUACAAUGGCCGGUACAGAGGGCUGCCAACCCGCGAGGGGGAGCCAAUCCCAGAAACCCGAUCGUAGUCCGGAUCGCAGUCUGCAACUCGACUGCGUGAAGUCGGAAUCGCUAGUAAUCGCGGAUCAGCUUGCCGCGGUGAAUACGUUCCCGGGUCUUGUACACACCGCCCGUCACACCAUGGGAGCGGGUUCUGCCAGAAGUAGUUAGCUUAACCGCAAGGAGGGCGAUUACCACGGCAGGGUUCGUGACUGGGGUGAAGUCGUAACAAGGUAGCCGUAUCGGAAGGUGCGGCUG